UACGGAGGGGGCUAGCGUUAUUCGGAAUCACUGGGCGUAAAGCGCACGUAGGCGGACUGGAAAGUUGGGGGUGAAAGCCCAGGGCUCAACCCUGGAACUGCCUUCAAAACUCCCAGUCUUGAGGUCGAGAGAGGUGAGUGGAAUUCCGAGUGUAGAGGUGAAAUUCGUAGAUAUUCGGAGGAACACCAGUGGCGAAGGCGGCUCACUGGCUCGAUACUGACGCUGAGGUGCGAAAGCGUGGGGAG
rnacentral:rRNA from 1 species